UUAUCCUUGAUCCUUUAGGUCGGUGGAGAUCUUCCCCGAGAGAGAGUCCUGAUUGGGCUCGGCAGGAGGGCGGGCGCCCCGGCCAACUGGGCGGGCGCCCAGUGCCUGGCCCCGUUCGGCCUCCGCUUCCUUCCUGUGUCUUCUGGAGUCUUCUAGAUGUAAGAUAAUUGCGCGGCAUGUUGAUAUCUCUAUGUAAUCCCGAUGUGUGGGCCUUUCUUCCGUAUUUCCUGACAACCCCCUGCAGAAAUAGACAAACACCAAAACUCGUGGAAUUCUGUCAGAUAAAACCCUAAGUCUAGAUGUUGAUUUCAUUUGGAUCCUUUUCUUUGUUUAUUUGAUAAUUAAAUUUGAUACUUAAGGACCGUCAACAAACUCUCCCAAGCUUACCUCUUGCUCGUCCCUGAGCAAGGAUAGACUCAGCUAUGGAUCAUAAGUUGUUGCAAUACCUUUAAAAAUUGACGGUAUAUAUGCUUUUAAACAAAGUCUCAUCUCUGAGUUAGAGUAAACUGUCAAGACUUAAAACUUACUUACUUUACCUUUCACCAUGGGACUUGUAACCGUCACUUCUGUCUUGAGUGGUUAAAAGAUAGAACGGUCUAGUCAAGUGCCAUGUCUCUUAUUCUUGAUCAGCUAUAGCUCUGGAGUUUUUGCAGAUUUUCAAAUAAAACUCAGAGAUUCCUUAUAUGACUCUCUCAUAUCUUUCUUUUGUGGUAUUUCUGGAUCCUUACCAAGGCAGUGAUGGUAUAUGCCUUCUCUCAAAAAGUAUGUGGUAUUUGUGGUAUGAAGCAUAGGGACAUUGCCUUCUCUCUCACCCUAUUCUAAUAAGGCUUGAUAUCUGGAGCUCAUAGGUGGGAGAUAAAAUAUACAUACUUACAAGACAUUUAUUGCAUAGUCAAACCAUGGAUCCAAAGAAACAAGUCAAUAAGCCAAAUCAAGAUGUGCAUGUGUGGCGAAUGAAUGGUGUAUGGUGAUGAUGGUGAUAACAAUGGUGAAAGUCUAAUUCUACUUUUGCUCUUUUGAGGGGAUACAUACCUUUCUUGUUUUUUGAAUCUUUUUGAGGAGAAUGAGAUGCUCUGUAUUUUCUUUUUCUUUCCUCUCAGGUGGGUAUCUUGUACCCCUAAUUCUACUGUCGGACACUUGUCCAUUUUUACCUCUCGUCUUACUUUUUCUUUCUUUUCUUUCGAGGUUUCGGGCACUUGCCCCUUUUUAUUUCCUCGUAUCUUUUUUUUCAGAGCACUCAUCUAUUGAGAUAAUAUAGCAAGUGGUAGUAACAAGAUAAUUUGAGCAUUUAUUUCACAAGGGAAAAACAGAAAUAUUUUUGGCUAUUCUCUCCUGGAUUAGGAGUAGAAUAUUUUUGGGUGGUUCUGGAGAUGGAAAUGGAUGGAUAUAUGUGGAUGGUACUUCCGGAGUAGAAGUAGCAUAUGUGAAUGAACGUGCAAGUGAAUCUUGAUUUAACCACAUGACAAGCUCCUAAGGGUCUACACAGCUUGACCACACUCAAUGCUCAUAAGCAGUAAAUAGUAAAUGUGUGGCUCAAAGUCUAGCAAGCAUGUAUAUAUGGUUGUGGUAGGAAUUUAAACUCUCAUCAUACAGGAACUCAUCAUGUAAUAUUUUAAAGAUUUUCAAAGAUAAAAUUCUCCAAAAUUCUAGCAUAUCUAGGAACAGAUAAACAGCAGCUCAACCUUCCCAUCUCAUAUCCGUUAACAACUUAGACUUCAGAUCAAGUUUUCAUCCCACAAGUUUAGGUCUAGAGCAAACUUUAUAUUAUAACAGUUAUGUCAAAACUUGAGAGAGAACUUCAAUUUUGAAAAUUAGGCAGAGCAACUAUUCAUCAUAUCCAUGCUAGAGUUUUAUUAUUAAGAUUCAGAUUAGCAUAGCCAAUUUAUUUAUUUAUUAAACACACUAAGAAAAAGACAAAUAUAUAUAAGCAUAAAAUCUUUAUUUGGUUUUUCAUAGUUAUGUAUAUCUAUAUUUUAAUAUAGUAUAAGUAUAGAGAUAGAUAGAAAUACUUAUCGGGAUAAAUGGGGGUGCUCUCCCCCAGGCUGAAUUUUGACGUAAUUUCUCUUGAUGUAGCUAGCAGGUGGCAGAGGUGUAUUUGAAAGUUAGCAGCAUUCUGACAGCGAUUAGAAUGUCCUCCGUCUGCUAGUCUUCUUGAUUCUUAAAUUUUGUGGAGCUUAAAUAGACAACAAAGCUUGUGAAACUGAUUAAGUGUUAGCAUAAAUAUCUAGCCUUUAUCAUGUUGAGACUCCUUAAUAAUUAUUACUCCCUAUUUUUAUAAUUUCAUUUUUAUAAAGCAGAAAAGAAAUUUUUAUUUUAUUUUUAUGCCACCACAGUGAAUGUACUUAUGGGUUUCAUACCACUCGUAUACUCACAUGGGGCUUACUAUUUUUCAUAUUUUUAUUUUCUUUUUAGGAUAGUAGAACAUAAUUAACUAAGUAAACUAUUUUAAUAUAAUUGAAAGGGAAAGGAUAACUACCAAGUUUACCUCUUGGCAAGGCGUUCGGUGUUUUUAAGUCCUCCGAACGGGACUCUUCGUUUUCUUCAAUUGUCCUUGGAUUCGUUGGGUGGCGGAGUCGGUACUUCCGGCGGCGCCUCCUCUUCAUGUAUAGUUAUCUUCUCUUUCCAUACCUGACUCGGUACUACGGUCUCCUCAGGAUAGUUCUGUUUAAACUGUAUGUCUUCUGACCUUACCACUUCUCCUUCGUAGUCUGCCUAUCCGUCCUUGAUAAUUUCCCUCCUGUGGUUGCAGUUGCGUCGUUUUCUGACCUGCUUAGAUUCUUCAAAGAUAUAGUUAGGGUCACUAAAAUAGCGGCGUACCUUCUCUGAGGGGAAGUGCAUAUGGACUUCUCCAGUUCCAAUGUAGAUAAUUGCUUUAACGGUGCUGAGGAACGGUCUUCCAAGGAUGAUGGGUGGAUCGUAAUCAUCUUCUCCCAUGUCAAUAACUUGAAAGUCUGUGUAGACAAAAUGAUCGUCUAUUUUGACAGGGACAUCAGUUACUGUUCCUUUAACUUCUCGAAAUGUCUGAUCUGUCAUCUGGAGCUGAAUGUAUGUUGGUUUUAAGGGCAUGGUUCCGAACAAGAGCCGAUAGGUGACUGCGGCCAUUAUGUUGACGUCCAAUCUGGUGUCGCAAGUCAUCUUGUAGAAGUUGUAUCCAUUUAUAGAGCAAUAGAUGCUUGGCAUUCCUGGGUCAUCCUUCUUGGUCAGAAACUGUGACUUAAGUUGAUGAUCUUGACCUCCAUGAACUGUAGUGAUCAUCUUAGCUGACUCGGUCCACACUUGCUUGUUCCUGUUCCUCCUGUUGGUCCUCUUCCUUGAUUCACGUCUGGAUUGAUCUGGGAUUUGUGUAGUCUUGUUCUUGAAGAAAAAUGUCUCCUUUCUCCCUUUGAUGUAGAAACUGAUCUUGGCAGCACUAGCGUAGAUGACAGCUCCUGCGGUGUUUAAGAAUGGCCUCCCUAAGAUGAUGGGUGCCCUCUCAUCAUUACCGGUCUCUACCACUACGAAGUCUGCUUGGGCAUAUAAGGUACCAACUCGGACACAAAGGUUCUUCAAUAUUCCUUUUGGAAAACUUAAUGCCUGAUCUGCAAACUGCAAACACAUGGUUGUCUGUAAUAAAGGAUAUGUAAAGAAUUUUUCAUAAAGUACCCUGGGUAUAAUGUUGACGCUGGAGCCAAAGUCGCAGAGUGCUUCUGGAACGUCCACCAUGCCGAUGGAGAUCGGGAUGACAGGGCGUCCUGGAUCGCCUCUCUUGACCGGCAGAAGGCCAGUAGUAACUUCAGUGACGGGGUUACUCCAGUUAUUACCUGCAUCAAACAUGUCUACAAGAUUUGCAGAUUCUAAUCCUUCCGGUUGUGAUGGUAUACCGGGGUUAGUAGUAGGAACAGCAGCAGCUAUUUGAUUUAACUGAGAUUCAAUCAUUUUAUUAAAGCUAAUUUGAUUCUUGAUGGCAGUAGAGAAAUUAUCCAUUCUAUUAUUUAUAUUUUCUAACAUUUUAUCAUUAGAUGCCAAUUUCUUAGAUAGGUUAUCCAUUAGCUUUCCUUGAUUAGACACUAACUCUCUCAAAGGUGGAAAAUUAUUAUUAUUGUUGUAAGAAUUGUUACCAUGAUAAUUACCUGAGUAGUUAGGCCUCUGUUGAUUCCAACCUAGUUGUUGUUGUAGUUUACAUCCUCAAGCAUCUCAGGGCAGUGAUUGUCUGAGUGUCCAGUAUCUCCACACUCCUCACAAGUCAUGUGAGAGUCGUAGAUGUGCAUAACUUCUUUCUUAUCUCCAGCUCUAUCAUCGAGCUUCUUUAUGAGCAGGUCUAGCUUUGCAGACAACAUGUCUACCUCCUUGAGCUGAUGCAUACCUCCACCUCUCUUGCGUGUCUGGGUCCUCUCUUCAUUCCAGCUUUGGUUGGACGCCAUCUUCUCCACAAGAGCUGUGGCUUGUGAUAUGGUAAGUGAUAGGAAUGCUCCUCCAGCUGCAGCAUCCAUGGUUUCUCGGGCACUGUUGCCGAGCCCAUGAUAAAAUGUCUGCAUCAGUAGCCAACUCUCCAUUCCAUGAUGGGGACAUUCUAGGAUGUAGUCUUGGAAGCGCUCCCAUGCUUCUGGAACAGAUUCGUCAUUUUGUUGCUGAAAACUUGUAAUCUUCCCACAGAGAGCAUUGGUCUUGCCCAUGGGAAAGAACUUAGCCAGGAAGUUUGUUGAGCAGAGUGCCCACGUAGUAUUCUUCUCCUUUGUAGCGUAAAACCACUGCUUCGCUCUUCCUAACAGUGAGAAUGGGAAGAGGCGAAGUAGUAUAGCAUCUCUGGGAACUCCUGAAAUGGUAAAUGUGUUGCAAAUCUCCAGGAAGUGUUGGAGAUAAGCACUAGCAUCUUCGUGUGCCUUCCCACAGAACUGGUUGGAUUGCACCAUGUUGAUAAGUCCAGGCUUGAGCUCAAAGUUGCCAUCGAUCUCUGCAGCAGGUCCAGUGCGGAUGUUGUCCGUAGUGGGAGCUGAGAACUCGCGGAUUGAUUUGUUCGCCAUGGCAUCGAACUCUGAAGACAAGUUCCGGUGAUCUUCUUGAUUGGAUGAAGCUUCUUGCUGAAGUGUUGAUGAUCUCCUCUUGAGCUUAGCUCUUGUUUUUUCUAAAUAACGCUUCGGGAUUGUCAACAAAAUUUCCUGGAAGAUGUCUUCUAUUCAUACAUUCCCCUGCAUAAGAUAAAAAUAGAAAAUAUCGAGGUAAAACUGUAUGAGAGUAUAGAUAAGCUCAAUCACAUUAGUGAUGCGAAUGAUAACUCAAAAUCCUAUAUUCAUUCCUGAUUAGUAAUCAACCUUCCCCGGCAACGGCGCCAAAAAUGCUUGUUGGGUAUUCUUAACAUCAUUACCAAAAGUAGACAGUUUUCUAAAUCUGAUAACGGUGCCAAAAAUGCCAAACCUAUCCCUCACACCACUUAAGCCAAGUUGUCAUCCCCAGCAUGACAUGAGAGACGCGGUAUUGAAAUAUGCAAUUGCUCUUCUAAAUAAAUAAUGAAUGGAAUCUGCAAGCGCACAGAUUAAUACCGAUGUAGCAUUUUAACCGGGAAGUAUUCCAGGUAUCGUUAUUUAUAUUUUUACCACUGAGAAGGGAUUAACAAUCAUCAAUAUUGAUUACAGAAUAGAAUAUGAGAUUGAGUAUCUAUCAUUGCAUGUAUAAUUGAGAACAUUUAUCUAACUCUUUCAUACAGGGAUAAGUGUCACAUAAAAGAUAUAUGAAGUAAUGAAUAGUGACAAAGAUAAUCAUAACUUAGCCACAUAAUAAAUAUGAUAAGCACCUCAAUUAGAUACUCUAGAAAGUCAUUAGCAUGGAAUUAGAACGAACUACAAGAAUAUUUCCUAAGUUAUUCUCAACUAUAUAGUCUAGCAUUAUCAUAAUUAGUGCAAGCAUACUUAGCAAUCAUUGCGAGACAAGACUACGCCCAUGCAUAGUGAUAUUAGCAAGGUAAAUGAGAAACAUAGCAAUCACUCCCCUGUAAUAAUAUUGCUCUGCCAGCCCAAUACACGAGAGGGGGACUAUAUAAGAAUCAAUGAAGCUGUCACUAUCACAAACUACCCCACGAUCUGGCAUAUUGGGAACAAUCGCAGAUAAAUACGGUAUAAGCACCACGCCUACACAAUAUCUAUCAUUUACCCAUGGAUCUGAUGGAUAAACGCUAUACGAUCCCAAGCAUGUAUAUAGAUCCAAUCUAACUAAGCCAAGUACAUAACUAUGAUAAACUAAGAACAAUAUAAUCUUGAAUAUAAACAAGUAGAGCAAAGUCAUAAGCAAUAUAUUGAAGUAGAACAAUGUCAUAUUCAUAAUAUUGAAGAACAAAGAUAAUUAGAAGAACAAUUAGAAGCACAAUUAGAGAAUUACCAAGAAUCCUCUUGACAGAUCCGGAAACCAAUCGAAGAUUGACUCCUUCUAGUUCUAAUCCUAUGUAGCUAUGCUAAUCUAGAUAUCUAAUUGAUGUGGUGGCUCUAAUCUUUAUCAGAGGCUUCUUCUCCCUUGAGGAACAAUGAAUUAGGGUUGAGAGACUCUCUCCUCUAGGGGCCAGGGGGUCUGGUUUUAUAGUCCCUUCAAAUGAAUAUGGGCCGCUGGAUCAAACCGACCUAGAUAGAACGGUUAUCCUUGAUCCUUUAGGUUGGUGGAGAUCUUCCCCGAGAGAGAGUCCUGAUUGGGCUCGGUAGGAGGGCGGGCGCCGAGUGCCUGUCCCCGUUCGGCCUCCGCUUCCUUCCCGUGUCUUCUGGAGUCUUCUAGAUGUAAGAUAAUUGCGCGGCACGUUGAUAUCUCUAUGUAAUCCCGACGUGUGGGCCUUUCUUCCGUAUUUCCUGAUAACCCCCUGCAGAAAUAGACAAACACCAAAACUCGUGGAAUUCUGUCAGAUAAAACCCUAAGUCUAGAUGAUUUCAUUUGGAUCCUUUUCUUUGUUUAUUUGAUAAUUAAAUUUGAUACUUAAGGACCGUCAACAAUUGUCUUAGCAAACCGCCUGUGAAAAUAGAUUUCCACACAGGCGGUUCUCAGUUAACCGAAGUGCAAAAAUUUAUUUCUACUAGCCCUUAGCACCGGUGGUUACAGAAAAUGCUUGUAGAAAUGUGUUUAGAACCGCCAGUACAAAGCUUUGUUGUACUAGUGAAUUAUUAAAAUAAUAAGGGAUAAAAAAUACCCUAUUCCCAUAUCAUUUUCUUUUUUAUUAUUCAUUUUGUUUUCUUUCGCUGUCUUCUUUCUCAUUGUGCCCGAGAGACUACAUGCAGGGGGAUGCCCCGGUGACUACGUCCCAUGAAGCCGCACCUCAUCCCCACGUCGGUGGCUGCACCAUGGCCCCAUGCCAAUAGAUGUGCCAUGGUCCUGUGUCGGUCGCCGCGCCUUGACCUAGCGCCCUGGUAGGUGUACCCCAACCGUACACCCCCACAGUGGUAGCCUUGGCCCUGCGUCCUAGCUCCAUGACUCCCUCGCCGGCCGACUCUGCCCAGCCCCACACCUUCCCUCUUUCGGUUAGCUCCCCAUGGUGGCAAUCUCUCCAUCCUCGUGCCCUGGCUCCAUACCACUUGCUGGCUGGCUCGAGGCCUAUCUCACUUGGCCGCCUUCCAACGACAGCCCACCCAGAUGCGCCUGGCACUCAUCAUCACACUCUCCUUGCCCAACACUACUAUAGAAAAAAGCAACCAUGGAGGGCAUAAGUGAUUAACCAAAGCGUUUUUACAACCGCCUUGGAUCAAAGGUCUUGAUAAAUCAUGAUCUUUACCGAGGUAGUUGUCAUGCCCACCACGGUUAAUCAAAUAAAAAAAGAAAACAAAAUCCAUGAAUUGGCCCGGUGAGCCCAUCCAUGGGCCCACCAAGCCCAUCAUGGGUUGCCGACAUUGCUGUCGCUCGCAGU
rnacentral:lncRNA from 1 species